rnacentral:rRNA from 1 species
CCUACGGGUGGCAGCAGUCGAGAAUCAUUCACAAUGGGGGAAACCCUGAUGGAGCGACGCCGCGUGGGGGAAUGAAGGUCUGCGGAUUGUAAACCCCUGUCAUGUGGGAGCAAAUUAAAAAGAUAGUACCACAAGAGGAAGAGACGGGUAACUCUGUGCCAGCAGCCGCGGUAAUACAGAGGUCUCAAGCGUUGUUCGGAAUCACUGGGCGUAAAGUGUGCGUAGGCUGUUUCGUAAGUCGUGUGUGAAAGGCGCGGGCUCAACCCGCGGACGGCACAUGAUACUGCGAGACUAGAGUAAUGGAGGGGGAACCGGAAUUCUCGGUGUAGCAGUGAAAUGCGUAGAUAUCGAGAGGAACACUCGUGGCGAAGGCGGGUUCCUGGACAUUAACUGACGCUGAGGCACGAAGGCCAGGGGAGCGAAAGGGAUUAGAUACCCUUGUAGUC